AAACUACCGACCCAAGACGGUUCCCCCCGAAGGGGAUUAAAAGGGAAUCCGGUCGGCGAUUUUGCGUUUUUCGCAUGAUCGCCGGAAAGCCGGAGCUGCCCCCGCAACUGUAAUCGGCGAGUUUAGGUUCACCCCGUGCCACUGGACGCGAGUCCGGGAAGGCCGAACCUAAGCGGCGACCCGAAAGCCAGGAGACCUGCCCUCGAAACUUUAAUCAA
rnacentral:ncRNA from 1 species